AAGAUACUCCCUCCGUCUCAUAUUAAGUGACUCAAAUUUGCCCAAAUAUGGAUGUAUCUAUACCUAAAAAGCGUCUAGAUACAUGUAAUAUUUCGGCACUUAGUAUGGGACGGAGGGAGUAUAUA
rfam:Brachypodium distachyon strain Bd21 chromosome 2, whole genome shotgun sequence.